GACGUCGGCGUUGCUGGGAGAAUGCGCCAUUCCUGCCCUGCCUCCACCCACCUCGGGAGCAGAAGCCUGGCCUGGACACCCCUCGAAGGAGAGGGCGCUUCCUUGAUGACUAGGCUAUUUUUGCCCACUGUAAAAGGCACUCUCAUCCUGGUAUCAAGAUCCCGGAGAGGCCAGAUUUGAAAGACGUGGAUGACGAUGGGGAAGAUGUCCAUCCUGUGCAGGGCGCAGACACUGUCCAGCCGGACGUCCAGGAGGGCGUGGGUGUUCUUUGCGGGAGGGAGAGGGAGAAGUGAAUCAAGAUCACGGGCUUUGGAGGAAGCAAAGGGAGCCCACGCCCAGGUCGGAAGGGCCCUCCGGACAGGCUGAGGGCAGGGCAGGAGCUGGGCAGAGCUGAAUUUUGUAGAGAAGAUGGGUGAAGAGAGCUUGCCACUUCUCUCUUUUUUUUUUUUUUGAGACAGAGUCUCGCUCUGUUGCCCAGGCUGGAGUGCGGUGGCGCGAUCUC
rnacentral:sRNA from 1 species